rnacentral:lncRNA from 1 species
CAGGGUUAUUGAGAGAGGGAGAGAGAGAGAAGGAAGUCGCUGCCGGCAGGGAUUAUGCGCUGUUUCCUUGUCUGGAAGCUCUUGCCUUGUUCCCUCCCACUCUCACAACUGAGCGGUUCUUCCACAAACUAAAGGAAAGGAAAGCAAAACCUGCUAUUCUCCAGCUGCCACAGCCUUCUUACUGACUGCCCCGCUUUCUUUAUUUCUUUCUACCAUUCUCUCUGUGUAGCAACAGAGUGUAUUCAGUGUAUGCCUGUGUAAGGGGAUCACUUUGUUUCUGUUGGCAAUUUCCAUGGUGCUGCAGACACACGGUGGAGAAGAUUGGAUUUGAGGACACUAAUGGGGGUGCACAGCUGCACGAAGCCGGAUCCCCCCUCUCCCUGCACCUCCCCAAACCCACAACGGGACCACCGCCACCCUCCCUCACACUUCGUCUCACUCUCUCAAUCCCUUCUCUCUAUCUCCCUCCCUCCCUCUCCCUCCCUCUCUCUCUGUCUUGCUCUCUCCAGGGAGGGGGGUGAGGGAGAUGGUCGCCAUAUGGGAGCUCCGAAACAUGGAACGGAUCCGAAGAGAGAGGAGUCUUUUCACUUCUAUCGCUGGAUAUCGUGCUCUGCUCUGCAUAGGGAGAGGAGAAUGAGAAGUGACCAUGGGCAACGCCAUACCCGGACAGGCACAUAAUCAACAGGGUGAGUAACUUUCAGAAAAAAAGUAUCUGUACAAUAAAUGCUCUACAGUACAUUGUGUUAUUUGAUGUACCCUGAAUUACCAAAAGAUAUGUUAGGUUUUUCAAAUUGUGGUCAGAAAUUGUGUUCAUCUCCUCAACAUGGACUCUUUGUGGACAUAGGCUGGUUAUAUUUCUAUGAAGACAUACUUUAUCUUUGCAAUCUCACUAGUACAUUCAAUUAAUACAGCUUUAGUAAUUUAGGUUUUUGGAUUUUUUUAUAUUACUUAGUUUGAUAGGUACAAUAUAUUUUCUAAUACUUUCUGGGAGUUUUUGCCCUGGGAUUUUAGCCUGGCUCUUUAAUUUGUGCUGUUCAUUUAAAUUUUCUGUGUUGUAGCCUGCAUCUUUGUGCUCUGCUCAAAAUACUUCAGAUCUUUUGAUUUGACACUCAGAAUAAAUCCACUAGGAUAUACAUUUUUUUUCAUAUAGUUUAUCAAUGUCAAUAUAUUGUUGGUUAGGAUUGUGUAAGGAUGGCAUAGCUGAAGUAUUUGUAAACAUAAAAUCAGCAACAUUAUUUGUAUAUGUUUUUUAUAAAUACAUUAUUAUGUAUUGGCCUGUUAUAGGUAUUAAACAGCACCUCUAUCCACUUACACACAGCAAUAUACAGUAUACUAACACAGUUUGGCCCAGAUUUUGUGGUAUAGGGUGAGACACUAUUUUCAGUAUAAUGUCAUUCAACAUAUUUAUUUUGGUACUUUCCAACUAUCCACUUGGCACAAACCCGUAGAUCCGAU